UACGGAGGGGGCUAGCGUUGUUCGGAAUUACUGGGCGUAAAGCGCACGUAGGCGGCUUUGUAAGUUAGAGGUGAAAGCCCGGGGCUCAACUCCGGAAUUGCCUUUAAGACUGCAUCGCUAGAAUUGUGGAGAGGUAAGUGGAAUUCCGAGUGUAGAGGUGAAAUUCGUAGAUAUUCGGAAGAACACCAGUGGCGAAGGCGACUUACUGGACACAUAUUGACGCUGAGGUACGAGAGCGUGGGGAGCAAACAGG
rnacentral:rRNA from 1 species